CCUACGGGGGGCUGCAGUUAGGAAUUUUGGGCAAUGGGCGGAAGCCUGACCCAGCAACGCCGCGUGGGUGACGAAGGCCUUCGGGUCGUAAAGCCCUUUUCCCAGGGAAGAUAGUGACGGUACCUGGGGAAUCAGCCCCGGCUAACUACGUGCCAGCAGCCGCGGUAAUACGUAGGGGGCAAGCGUUGUCCGGAUUUAUUGGGCGUAAAGCGCUCGCAGGUGGUUCAUUGCGUCGUGCGUGAAAGACCCUGGCUCAACUGGGGGGUGUCGUGCGAAUCGGGUGGACUUGAGGGCAGUAGGGGGAUGCGGAAUUCCGGGUGUAGUGGUGGAAUGCGUAGAGAUCCGGAGGAACACCAGCGGCGAAGGCGGCAUCCUGGACUGUGCCUGACACUCAGGAGCGAAAGCGUGGGGAGCGAUCCGGAUUAGAUACCCCAGUAGUC
rnacentral:rRNA from 1 species